rnacentral:rRNA from 1 species
CCUACGGGAGGCAGCAGUGAGGAAUAUUGGUCAAUGGGCGAAAGCCUGAACCAGCCAAGUCGCGUGAGGGAUGAAGGUCCUAUGGAUUGUAAACUUCUUUUAUAAGGGAAUAAAGUGUGGUAUGUGUCCUGUUUUGUAUGUACCUUAUGAAUAAGGAUCGGCUAACUCCGUGCCAGCAGCCGCGGUAAUACGGAGGAUCCGAGCGUUAUCCGGAUUUAUUGGGUUUAAAGGGUGCGUAGGCGGCCGUUUAAGUCAGCGGUGAAAGUCUGUGGCUCAACCGUACAAUUGCCGUUGAAACUGGGGGGCUUGAGUGUGUGAGAGGCAGGCGGAAUUCGUGGUGUAGCGGUGAAAUGCUUAGAUAUCACGAAGAACCCCGAUUGCGAAGGCAGCCUGC